CUUCCCCGUUACUCCUCCUCUUCCAAUCUACAAAUGUUGUUUUUUUUUGUUUGCUAAAAUUUGGAAUCUACAAACGUUAGUUACAAUAAAGCAUCGAUUCUCAGAUUACCCAGAUAUGCUCACUUAGGAUGCUCCAAGAUGUCGUCAACGUUUAUAAGAAGGGGCUUGACAUGGAUCCAAGCAACGUAUGGUUACAAUCAUGUUUGGCAGGCACUCAAGUUUUUGGGUCGAGUCCUCACGCUGUCUUAGAUUCAUUUGGGGAUGCUUUCCAAUGGCUCGAGAUAUCAAAGAACUAAAGAACAGAUUCUUCAGCAAUAGUUUCAGGACUCAGGAAGGUGAAGCAGUGGUGGAUCAGGAGGAUAAGAUGGAUAUACCUCCAAGGAAGGAGCCUGAGGUAGAGAAGAAACAAAAACCAGAGCAUCAACCUGAGUUGGAGUUUGUUGAAGAAAAGGAGAGUAAGGGGAGGAAGCAGAUAGCUUUAAAGAAGAUAGAUGAGCAGCUACCGUGCUUACCUCAAACACAAAAUCUUCGAAGAUGAGUCUGUGAUCAAAACAUUUUACGAAGCAGAGAAAGCUCCUCAUGGACAGUUAUGUAUAGCUGUGAUUUGUAGAAUAUGAUCAAGCACGGAGAGACGCAAAGCUUGCAACCAAUGUCUUGAAGGAGAAAAAGAAAAGCAUAGAUAAACCGAGGGUUAUCAUAUCGAUCUCUCACACAACUUCUGCAACCCAUUUGAUUGCACAGGGGUAGUUGUUGGCAUUUAUACAGCCAACAGAUGGUGCAAACUGCAAUGUUGGAGUUUGAGGUACCAUGUCCAGAUAACCGUCUCCAUAGCAUCUGACUCUGCUGAGUUUGUAGCUUUCGACUCUGAUAUAAGUAAGCUGACUAAUAUCAGAACUGCAGAGAUCUCCAACAAAUGGUAAUUUUGAACAACUUGCUAUGAGCUAGACAUGACUGUGAUGUGCCUUAGAUACUCUAAGCGGUAAAGUUUAUGGAGAUACGCCCUACCUUGACACAGUUAUGUUCAGAUUUACACAGUUAUGCUCUGUCUUACAUUAAUUAGUUUGAUUCCCUCUUUCUAUUGUAUGGUUCAACAUGGAGAAGCUUUUUGUUUUCCUU